CUAAGACCAUGUUUAUCAAAAUUCGGCCUAACGUCCAAAGUGAAUAAUUUUUUGUUAGAAAUAUUCUCUAACAUGUUCUUUUCCUAUAAUGUACUGGUUUUUAUAUGUAGAGUUCGUGAAAGAACACUAUUUUUAGGUUUACAUUACUAGUAUAAAUCCUAUAAUUUGCUCUACUUUUUAAGAUUGCGUCAUACAACGUCGCUAUAUAUUAUUAGAAGUGGUAACGUAUUGUAAAACAUAAUUAUGCAAUGAGCGGUUUAAUAUAUAAUAAGAUCUUGAAAAAGAAAUUUUCUUUCAAAAUACGCAAUAAGGUUAUUUUACUUAUAGCCCGAAUGGCACACCAUAUUUUUCAAUCCUUCAUUCGGCAAUUUUCACACGCCGCGCCGUUAGCCUGUUUGUACUGUUCGUGGACGUUGCAGAGGAUGUACUCAUCGCAUUUCAACGAUGAUAUAAUAUGUACAGCAAAAAUUGAUGGCAAGGGUGACAUGAAUCAGAUUGACAAGAAUCCAUAUUCCUACUCCUCAAUAAUGCUAUCAUCACUGCCAUCAAAUUCAUCAAUGAUAGUGGCAUCAAUGACACAUGCGGAUAAGUGUUGGACAUCACUGAAGGAAUAGCUUCCUUGUUGUGCCUGCCAAUAGCAAGGUACCAGAUUAUACAGCAGUUAUGUGGAAACAGAUUCCCACAAUAGGGGGACCAGAUUGACACCUACAUUGUACAGUAUCAGGCAGUUAUAUCAGAACUGGAAAAACUGGAUCCAAACAAGACUAUAUUGCUUGGAAGAAACAUGUCGACUCUGAAGUUUAACCCUUAUUAACCCAUGGCACUUCUAUGUCAUUUGAAAUAUACCUGUGGAGGUU